rnacentral:rRNA from 1 species
UACGUAGGUGGCAAGCGUUGUCCGGAUUUACUGGGCGUAAAGAGCGCGCAGGCGGUCGUGCAAGUCGCGUGUGAAAGCCCCCGGCUCAACUGGGGAGGGUCACGCGAUACUGCUCGACUUGAAGGCAGGAGAGGGAAGUGGAAUUCCCGGUGUAGUGGUGAAAUGCGCAGAUAUCAGGAAGAACACCCGUGGCUAAGGCGGCUCUCUAGUACGGUACUGACGCUGAGACGCGAAAGCGUGGGGAGCGAACAGG